GGCGUACAACAAUGCAAAGUUAGUUUACUUAUAAGUUUAUCAACAAAACGUUUGAGCGUUAUUCCUCACGCCUGCCCCCAAUCAUCUGUCCUUCGUCCCCUACCGCCAGCCGUACCGCUAUAUUUUAUAAUCGUAAACCUUUUAUUCUUUUUUUUUUUUUCUACGCCGUGUUAUUUUUUUUUCCACUUCGCGUGUCCUAGAAAGUAUGAAAUUGUUGCGGAAACCAAAGUUCGCGAGCGCAAUACGUAUAAUCCCUUGUCCGUGUUUUUCGGUUAAUUUUGUUCACAACAACAAUCCGUACCCCCCCCCCCACCGGUAUAUCAUUAUAGAAUGGGCCGUGAAAACACCCAAAAAACCUCGGGCGAGGACGUGGUCUACUGAUACGUGCGUGUGUGAACAGAAAAUCAACAGUUUUACGAGAAAUUAAAACGCAUCAUAAGAUUACUACUAAAGAUAUUUGAUAUGUUGUACAGCUAUACAUAAUAUCGACGGUGUUCUGUUAAAAGUACGUAUACCACUAAAACACUUUUUUUUCAGUAAGCGAAAAAACUGUUUUUAAUGAUGUUUAUCGUGGAAAACAAUAAAAUUACACGUGAACAUAACACCUUCUACACAAAUAAUACAUUGAAUGCGGUAUACACGCCCUUUUAACAAAUCAGUGCAAUUGAUUUAGUUAUA